CCUACGGGUGGCAGCAGUGGGGAAUAUUGCACAAUGGGGGAAACCCUGAUGCAGCGACGCCGCGUGAGUGAAGAAGUAUUUCGGUAUGUAAAGCUCUAUCAGCAGGGAAGAAAAUGACGGUACCUGAGCAAGAAGCCCCGGCUAACUACGUGCCAGCAGCCGCGUUAAUACGUAGGGGGCAAGCGUUAUCCGGAUUUACUGGGUGUAAAGGGAGCGUAGACGGUAAUGCAAGUCUGGAGUGAAAGGCCGGGGCUCAACCCCUGGACUGCUGUGGAAACUGUAUGGCUGGAGUGCAGGAGGGGAAGGUGGAAUUCCUGGUGUAGCGGUGAAAUGCGUAGAUAUUAGGAGGAACACCAGUGGCGAAGGCGGCUUACUGGACUGUAACUGACGUUGAGGCUCGAAAGCGUGGGGAGCAAACAGGAUUAGAUACCCGAGUAGUC
rnacentral:rRNA from 1 species